rnacentral:rRNA from 1 species
CACGUAGGAGGCGAGCGUUGUCCGGAAUCAUUGGGCGUAAAGAGCGCGCAGGCGGCUUGGCAAGUCGGGGUGUGAAAUCCCCGGGGCUCAACCCCCGGGACUGCAUUCGAUACUGUCAGGCUAGAGGUAGGUAGGGGGAGAUCGGAAUUCCUGGUGUAGCGGUGAAAUGCGCAGAUAUCAGGAGGAACACCGGUGGCGAAGGCGGGUCUCUGGGCAGUAACUGACGCUGAGGAGCGAAAGCGUGGGGGAGCGAACAGG